rnacentral:rRNA from 1 species
UACGUAGGGGCAAGCGUUGUCCGGAAUCAUUGGGCGUAAAGCGCGCGCAGGCGGUCCUUUAAGUCUGAUGUGAAGGCCCACGGCUCAACCGUGGAGGGUCAUUGGAAACUGGAGGACUUGAGUACAGAAGAGGAAAGCGGAAUUCCACGUGUAGCGGUGAAAUGCGUAGAGAUGUGGAGGAACACCAGUGGCGAAGGCGGCUUUCUGGUCUGUAACUGACGCUGAGGCGCGAAAGCGUGGGGAGCAAACAGG